rnacentral:rRNA from 1 species
GAUGAACGCUGGCGGCGUGCCUAAUACAUGCAAGUCGAGCGAACAGACGAGGAGCUUGCUCCUCUGACGUUAGCGGCGGACGGGUGAGUAACACGUGGAUAACCUACCUAUAAGACUGGGAUAACUUCGGGAAACCGGAGCUAAUACCGGAUAAUAUAUUGAACCGCAUGGUUCAAUAGUGAAAGACGGUUUUGCUGUCACUUAUAGAUGGAUCCGCGCUGCAUUAGCUAGUUGGUAAGGUAACGGCUUACCAAGGCAACGAUGCGUAGCCGACCUGAGAGGGUGAUCGGCCACACUGGAACUGAGACACGGUCCAGACUCCUACGGGAGGCAGCAGUAGGGAAUCUUCCGCAAUGGGCGAAAGCCUGACGGAGCAACGCCGCGUGAGUGAUGAAGGUCUUCGGAUCGUAAAACUCUGUUAUUAGGGAAGGACAAAUGUGUAAGUAACUAUGCAUAUCUUGACGGUACCUAAUCAGAAAGCCACGGCUAACUACGUG